rnacentral:rRNA from 1 species
GGAUAACAAUUGGAAACCGUUGCUAAGACUGGAUAGGAAAAGUAAAGGCAUCUUUACUUUUUUAAAAGACCUUCUUUGAAGGUAUGCUUAAGGAGGGGCUUGCGACACAUUAGUUAGUUGGCAGGGUAAAGGCCUACCAAGACUAUGAUGUGUAGCUGGACUGAGAGGUUGAACAGCCACAUUGGGACUGAGACACGGCCCAAACUCCUACGGGAGGCAGCAGUAGGGAAUUUUCGGCAAUGGAGGAAACUCUGACCGAGCAACGCCGCGUGAACGAUGAAGUACCUCGGUAUGUAAAGUUCUUUUAUUAAGGAAGAAAAAAGAGUGGAAAAACUCCCUUGACGGUACUUAAUGAAUAAGCCCCGGCUAAUUAUGUGCCAGCAGCCGCGGUAAUACAUAAAGGGCGAGCGUUAUCCGGAAUUAUUGGGCGUAAAGGGUGCGUAGGCGGUUUAAUAAGUUUAUAGUUUAAUUUCAGCGCUUAACGCUGUUGUGCUAUAAAAACUGUUUUACUAGAGUGAGUUAGAGGCAAGCGGAAUUCCAUGUGUAGCGGUAAAAUGCGUAAAUAUAUGGAGGAACACCAGAGGCGUAGGCGGCUUGCUGGGACUUUACUGACGCUGAGGCACGAAAGCGUGGGGAGCAAACAGGAUUAGAUACCCUGGUAGUCCACGCCGUAAACGAUGAGUACUAAGUGUCGGGUAAAACCGGUACUGAAGUUAACACAUUAAGUACUCCGCCUGAGUAGUACGUACGCAAGUAUGAAACUUAAAGGAAUUGACGGGACUCCGCACAAGCGGUGGAUCAUGUUGUUUAAUUCGAAGAUACACGAAAAACCUUACCAGGUCUUGACAUUUUCUUGCGAAGUUAUAGAAAUAUAAUGGAGGUUAUCAGGAAAACAGGUGGUGCAUGGUUGUCGUCAGCUCGUGUCGUGAGAUGUUAGGUUAAGUCCUAAAACGAGCGCAACCCUUGUCGUUAAUUGCCAGCAUGUAAUGAUGGGGACUUUAACGAGACUGCCAAUGAAAAAUUGGAGGAAGGUGGGGAUUACGUCAAAUCAUCAUGCCCCUUAUGAUCUGGGCUACAAACGUGAUACAAUGGUUGAUACAAAGAGUAGCUGAAACGCGAGUUCUUAGCCAAUCUCACAAAAUCAAUCUCAGUUCGGAUUGAAGUCUGCAACUCGACUUCAUGAAGUUGGAAUCGCUAGUAAUCGCGAAUCAGCAUGUCGCGGUGAAUACGUUCUCGGGGUUUGUACACACCGCCCGUCAAACCACGAAAGUUGGCAAUACCCCAAAGCGGUCACCUAACUUCGCAAGAAGAAGGAUCCGUCUAAGGUAGGGUCGAUGAUUGGGGUUAAGUCGUAACAAGGUAUCCCUACCGGAAGGUGGGGAUGGAUCACCUCCUUUCU